rnacentral:lncRNA from 1 species
AUGAUUUCUCCUGUCCUGAAAGAGAGGAGGAAAAGAACAUUAAGUCCACUGUGGAAGCCAAUGGAUCCCGGCUUUCACACUUCUGCUGUGAUUGCUCACUAUGGGGUUUUAUCCAUGAGAGGGGACACCAAUUCAAAUAUAAAAGCAUUUUUAUUCCUAACUAUUUCAUUAAAAGGAAGCUCAUUUCUCUAUUGCAUUCUUAGCCUAAUUUUAACAGAACCAUUUUUAUCCCAGGCCCCACUUGUCCGUCAUUCAAUCCUUUACCACGGGACUUUAUACAAAGGAAGGGACACCUGGGUGAUGUGUCACAAGAAAUCCCAAAGAGAAACGUGUCCAAAACCUCACAGAGAAAGUUUUCAAGGCACUCCAGUGCACAGACAGCUGCUCAUGCCUUGUCAGGCCACACCAGUUCUGUCACAUCCACCUGAGCUGUGCAGGCGAGGCAAAGGCUGCCCUUCCUCCCAGGGAACACUGUCUGAGACCACAGAGAGUGCUGUGUGACCACCAUGUGUAGUUUGGAGAGCUUGACUACGCUCUAAGUGAGGAUUCUUUCAUGUAUAGUAACUGGAUGGCAACGUUCAGGACCUUCAGAAAUGUUUCAUCUCUGUAACGGUACCUUUGGGAGAAGGAUCACAGAGAAGUCAGACUGUAACCAAACCCAAGAAAACCCACUUGAAGCUACAAGUUGGGUAAGAAAUGAGAACUUGGCAAAGAAAAUGAACUUGGUGAAACCAAACCAAAUUCAAAUGAAAGCACUUACUUGAGCCCUGUCUUCACAAGGUCACACCAGUCAUCUGGGUCCACUUCUUCAACCACACACUGUGUGCAGCAAGUAAAAACAGGUGUUGGUUUACAUUUGGCACAUGGAGCUUCUACAGCAAUUUUUGUUCAAGGGACACACACUAAGAACACGCAAGCCAAACGCUCACGUGGGAUGAUCUGAGGGUAACAGGGAAAAAAGCUCUUGGAUACAACAAUCCUAAUUCCUGGCUCAAAAGAAACUUGUUGGUCUGGGAGCAGGGGCUGUAUGGAAUCAAAAAGCAAGCUGGGCUGUAGGUUCCAAAAACCCAGCGGCUCAAUACUCUUCAAACUCCUCAAGUGCAAAAGGAUUCGCAACUUGACAAGUCAAAGCGAGAGCCUGGAGCAGACUGACAGCUGCACAUCUCAACAGUCCUGGGAAUGCAGGUGCCAACCUCGCCAGGCUGGAAACACCCUCAGGAUGGGAUGGACCCUGUGAGGUGGCCCCAGGGACUGCAGAGUCAGCCAGGUCCUACAAGGGAGUCUCAGCAAAAGCCAUGAGAGCGCAAAGGCAUUCACUGCCCUGAGACCUUCAGUGUUGCAUGUCACAGGGAUCCGUGUUCACUGAACUCAAACCAAGGCAACAGUAUACAGAGGGAGUGACCAAGUAGUGUUCUUCAAGAUCAAAGUCUGAUUUCUAUUCCUGAUCAACCAGACUUUUGCCCCAGACUUCAGAUGGCAUGGCAGAUGGGUCUUGGCACAAGUAUCUCUAUCAGCCUCUUUUAAAAAAGAAGGUGAUAACUUUAAGUUUAAAAAUUAAAUUAAUUAAUUUAUAAUAAUUUAAAUAAUUAAUUUAAACUUAAUUUUUUUAAAAAAUCCACUGGUAACCUUUGAUUUCUUACUCCUAAAUACCUCAAACUCCUACAUUCAAAGGGGAUUCGUACCAGAAAGCCAUCAAAAAGAACAUAAAACUGCCUCGUAUAAAGGAUUCUCAGGACUCGGAAAAAGCUAUGAAAAAUCCAUGGAAACCAGAAUCCAUAAAACAGGAAAUCGAGUCCAAUCUGUAUUUACAAAAUCUACAACUGCCCAAUCACACAUAUGCAUACAGUCCCUCUGUGGCAAAGCAGAUAAGCAGUCUCACCAAUAAUUCCUCUAGCCUCAGCAGCAUGGACCUCUCCACUUCUUGCUUGCCUUCAUCUUUACUGCUGCUGUACAUGGCAACUAACCCCUUUAUGCAGGCUGAGAAGAGAUGUCUCCUCCAGGAAUGCAGCUCCUCUGAGUUUUUAAGCACCGUGGAUAUGGCAUCUGCCACGGCCCAGCUGCAGAGAGAUAGCUGUUGAUUUUCUUAUUAACAUUUUAACUUGGUUUUGUAUAUCUUAAAGAUGUCUUGCUGCCAAAGUGCAAAGCAACAGAUUCUCGGAGGAGAGGAUGCUGUUAAUGCUCCCAUUCCUAUCACACUGAUUCCCAGGACAAACUGAGCCCUGGGGGAGGCAUACACACACACACACUGCCCACCUCUCUUCAUUGCCUGCUCUCUCCGGAGCAGCAGGAAGGCAGUCCAUCAGGUUGUGCAGCCCUUUGCUUCCCGGAGGUGGCAACAGCUUGGAAAGAAUUUGCAGUUUCACAGUGGCUUCAGGGUCCUGAAUCGUGGCACCGAGCUCCUUCCACAGGGCUUUCCUCAGGACAGGUGUGACAGCCGAGACAG